GAGUUUGAUCUUGGCUCAGGAUGAACGCUGGCGGCGUGCUUAACACAUGCAAGUCGAACGGAGUACCCUCGAAGGAGUUUUCGGACAACUGAGAGGACUACUUAGUGGCGGACGGGUGAGUAACGCGUGAGUAACCUGCCUUGGAGUGGGAAUAACAGCUGGAAACAGCUGCUAAUACCGCAUGAUGCAGUUGGGCCGCAUGGCUCUGACUGCCAAAGAUUUAUCGCUCUGAGAUGGACUCGCGUCUGAUUAGCUGGUUGGUGGGGUAACGGCUCACCAAGGCGACGAUCAGUAGCCGGACUGAGAGGUUGGCCGGCCACAUUGGGACUGAGACACGGCCCAGACUCCUACGGGAGGCAGCAGUGGGAAUAUUGGGCAAUGGGCGCAAGCCUGACCCAGCAACGCCGCGUGAA
rnacentral:rRNA from 1 species